GACGUGGGCCCCAAGCGUUAUCCGGUGUUACUGGGCAUAAAGAGUCGCGUAGGCGGCUAUGAAAGUUAUUCUUUAAAUCCCGAUGCUCAACAUCGGGACUGGGAGUAAGACUCCAUAGCUAGAAUUUUGUAUGAGGGUAAAUGGAACUGUGAGAGGAGUAGUGAAAUGCGUUGAUCCUCACGGGAACACCAGUGGCGAAGGCGAUUUACUGUAACAAAAUUGACGCUGAGGCACGAAAGCUAGGGGAGCG
rnacentral:rRNA from 1 species